GUCAUUGAUUAUUGGACUUCACUGUCCUUUAAACUAAAUACAACUUUCAACAACGGAUCUCUUGGCUCUCGCAUCGAUGAAGAACGCAGCGAAAUGCGAUAACUAAUGUGAAUUGCAGAAUUCAGUGAAUCAUCGAGUCUUUGAACGCACCUUGC
rnacentral:rRNA from 1 species